AUCCUUGGAACUCCAAGUGGGACUUCUUAAAAGAUUUAUAAGGAACAAAGAUGUCAGGAAAGCAGAAAUACACACGGACUCCAUGACUAGAAAAACCUCGUGGUGGCCUGCUCUCCGGUGCUUGGAAGUGUGCUAGUUACAUCUUGGAGGCCUGAUUUUCUUAACUCCACCCUGCUGAGAAGAUGCCCUCCAGGAGGCUGUGCUUGCAGACUCCACGGAGCCUCUCUCAAGAUUUCCUGAACCUUGUGGAUUUACAGUAAGACGAAGUUCCCUGGGGAGUAAUUCUGGUGGAUGCAAAUUCUGGAGUAAUACACCUGGCCUGCCUAGAGAUGUUACAAGUGGCCUAAUGGAUUUUUCUAGCCUGGACGCCCACUGGGGACAAGGAUCAUUACUGACAGGAUUGUAUCUCUACCCUUGACUCCAUGGGAAUAUUUGGUCUGCUCUCUCGGGCUCCCUCUAAAAUCAUAUCCUUUAAGCAUUCCAGAAGGAUUUUGAGAACCAUCCUUUCCUAAAUCAAAGCUAGAAUAUUUGGAGAUUUGGAAAAUUGAGGUGAGAAGCAUUGAUUUAAGAGAUGCCAAGUAACUCAGCGGAUGUCACACAGAUGAUAAAGAGCAAGGAUAGACCUCUUCAUUUCAUGUUUGAGGCAAUUCUCUAAGACAGCUGAUUUCUCCAGAGCUGGUAGGAGACAGACUUGCUCACGUGAUAGAUCCGGCCAUGAUAUUGUCCCUAAGAGAACGAGAUGCUCUUUGCAGAAGACAUAGAAGAUUCCUGAAACUGGGAAAGGGGCCUAGAAACCUGGAGAAGAGUGAAGAAGGCAUUUUCCCUCCCCUGCUUAGGCAUCUGCCACCAUAUUCAAUACUUUCUCCAGGGUUCUCAGGUUUCCCAUUGGCUUGGAAUUUGUCAAUUAGUUUUGCUGGCUGGACAGAAAGCCACACGGAUCCUCUUGUCUUGGUCUCCUGACAUUUGGAUUAAAGUCACCUGGAGGUGCAGGCCAUCGCUAUGUUAAACCUAUGAGGUGAUGAUAAACCACACAA
rnacentral:lncRNA from 14 species